AUUUUGCUGCGGGCAGCUGCUUGGGUACUACGAGCGUGUGCUUAAAACUCAAAGAACUUGGCGGCUAGUUAACUACCUAGGGGAAUAUGCGCCUUAAUCCGAUGGUCCCCGUAGCAUCUUACUGUGCCUCGAAGGAGUGCAGCUAGUGUAUUGCCGUUGUCAGCUUGUAGUACGAGCGAAGAGUAACAGGCUCAAUGGAACUUCUGACAAGUUCAGCAAGGAUCCCUGAAUUCAGGUCGAAAUGCUGCCAAUGGCUCAAGGGAGUGGGUGUUACAAUUUUAGAUUUAAAAUUACGGAUUUCUGGAUGAAAUGCCAGGAUGAAGGUGAACUUAGGAGUAAGGGAGGAUUAAUAUGCCCCUCUGAACGUGAUUCUAACUUUCGUACAAACUGCCCGUCGCUCUCGCCGAGAGGGGAGAU
rnacentral:rRNA from 1 species